GUGGGGAAUAUUGCACAAUGGGGGAAACCCUGAUGCAGCGACGCCGCGUGAGCGAAGAAGUAUUUCGGUAUGUAAAGCUCUAUCAGCAGGGAAGAAGAAUGACGGUACCUGACUAAGAAGCAACGGCUAAAUACGUGCCAGCAGCCGCGGUAAUACGUAUGGUGCAAGCGUUAUCCGGAUUUACUGGGUGUAAAGGGAGCGCAGGCGGUGCGGCAAGUCUGAUGUGAAAGCCCGGGGCUCAACCCCGGUACUGCAUUGGAAACUGUCGUACUAGAGUGUCGGAGGGGUAAGUGGAAUUCCUAGUGUAGCGGUGAAAUGCGUAGAUAUUAGGAGGAACACCAGUGGCGAAGGCGGCUUACUGGACGAUAACUGACGCUGAGGCUCGAAAGCGUGGGGAGCAAACAGGAUUAGAUACCCGAGUAGUCC
rnacentral:rRNA from 1 species